rnacentral:rRNA from 1 species
GACGAACGCUGGCGGCGCGCCUAACACAUGCAAGUCGAACGAGCGAGAGAGAGCUUGCUUUCUUGAGCGAGUGGCGAACGGGUGAGUAACGCGUGAGGAACCUGCCUCAAAUAGGGGGACAACAGUUGGAAACGACUGCUAAUACCGCAUAAGCCCACGGUGCCGCAUGGCACAGAGGGAAAAGGAGCAAUCCGCUUUGAGAUGGCCUCGCGUCCGAUUAGCUAGUUGGUGAGGUAACGGCCCACCAAGGCGACGAUCGGUAGCCGGACUGAGAGGUUGAACGGACACAUUGGGACUGAGACACGGCCCAGACUCCUACGGGAGGCAGCAGUGGGGAAUAUUGCACAAUGGGGGAAACCCUGAUGCAGCGACGCCGCGUGGAGGAAGAAGGUCUUAGGAUUGUAAACUCCUGUUGUUGGGGAAGAUAAUGACGGUACCCAAAAAGGAAGUGACGGCUAACUACGUG